AAGAACUACUUGCGAUGGAACCAGAAGGCGAUUGAGAUUAUUGAAUGUGAUAAUAGAGAUAUGUAUUUCAUGGGAAUAAGGUGGUAAAGUUGGAGAAAUUCAUCGGUAAGGACUGUACGAAUACGCGAAGAAGAAGAAGCUCCAUAUAGGAGAUAAUGUGAGUUUUAUAAUUCGUAGUCCUCCAGACCGUCUAUUUGUGUAUAUUAUCAAGCAUGGUAGAUAUGGUGUUUUUGUUUGAUGUGAAGACAAUGGAAGUAAAUAUCAAUGGUUGUGGGUUUUAAAAGUAUGGAUGAAAAUGUUAAGAACAAUCGGUAUGAGGUUUAGA
rnacentral:lncRNA from 1 species